UCUGCUCAGUGAUUCUGCUGAGUUUUUGAUAUAAUGCAUGAUAGCAGGAUGAAUGCAGGGGGAAUUUGCAGUUAAUGUUAGUAGGCUAUUAUUUUACCUUUUGGCCAAUUGGGGACAGUGGGACAAGUUGUAGAAACAACAACUGGCACACCUUUGAAAGUUGUUUUAGCUUACGUGUUAACAAAAAGUUGCCUAUUUAUACAUUCAGUAGACAAAGAGCGACAUUAGCACUCGGAGUCACGUUUCCAGCCACCUCAUUAAUGUGGCGGUAUGCUGAAGGUGUUGAAUCCAAGCGGUGACAAUUCCAGCUGUUUCUGCUGAGAUGUGGCGUUGAAGCAUCCAUGGAGCAUGAGUCGGCAGAGGCUCUACCUUGGAGUGUGUUCCAGCCAUAAUGAUGGCCUCUGUGUGUGGCGUGUUAAGACAGCCGGCCAAGGGAGAAAUUGCUGCUCUUGCACCUUGCAUUCUUGGGCUGGGUGUCGGGGGCCUCACCACCGCUCUCUGUGGCUUCCAAGAUCGGAAGCUCGCCCUUAACAAUGACUGCUGCCGGCUCGAUUGCGUGUGUUGAGCAAAUUUCUGUCGGACUGUGUGUUAUUCUGAGAGGAAAGGAGCUUGUGUGCAAAGUCAGUCAGCACAGUGUAAUGACUGGGAGGAAUGAUCUGCUCUGAUUGUGAAGGGCAGCCUAUUGUAUUCUGUUUUAUUACAGCAAAGGCCAAAAACACAGGAGACAGGCUGGUAGCUUGCAGCUAUUACAAUCAAUGCCAGGUAUUAUACAAGAUCUUUAACCUGAUCAGCUUAUGACUUUUCACCGCCUUAGUAAACUUGCAAUAUAAGCAAAAAAAUCCAUCGGUCUUAAGAAUAUGUAGAGCAAUACUCACUAGAAUUAUUGCUCUCACAAUUAAUUGCUAAGUCUAUAAAAUGUCCAGAAAAUAUGAAAAAUACAACCGACACCCCAAGCUGACAUUUUCGUAUCAUUUCUUUUGUCCGAACAACAGUCAAGACCGGAGAGAUAUUCUUUUUACGAUGAUAUAAAACAGAGAAAUGUAACAAAUUCUCAUAUUUAAGAAGCUGGAUCCAGGGAGUCUUUAUCAUUUUUUCAUGACAA